AUUGAACGCUGGCGGCAUGCCUAACACAUGCAAGUCGAACGGCAGCGCGGACUUCGGUCUGGCGGCGAGUGGCGGACGGGUGAGGAAUGCAUCGGAAUCUGCCCCGACGUGGGGGAUAACGUAGGGAAACUUACGCUAAUACCGCAUACGACCGAGAGGUGAAAGUGGGGGACCGCAAGGCCUCACGCGAUUGGAUGAGC
rnacentral:rRNA from 1 species